AACACCGCACGCCUCACUGACUUGCUCGACCGCUUGCGCGACAUCGUUCACAAGUGCUCCUCGUCCACCGACACGCCGUGCCACCUCGACACGCUCCUCUCCUGCCUCGAACGCGAGUCGUCCACCUCGUCCCCCUCGCUUCCCGCUCGCCAACUCGCUUACAUCGAGGCUCUCGCGGCUCUCUCGCCUGACAGUGCAGACGGAUGGGAGGAGAAGGCUGCUCAGGGCGUCGUAUGGACGAAGGAAGCGCUCGAGCAGCUCGUUGAGGUUCUCGAGAAGGUGGGCACCGGAACGACCGCGGACUUGGGCGAGGGUGGAUUGGACGGCGAGAGUGCGAGGAAGGACGUACUGAGUGCGAGGGUCGUGAGCUGGCUGGAGGGAAUCGCGGAGCAUGUUGCCAGGCAGGUCGAGGAGACGAAGGACGCGAAGGGAAAAGGAAAAGCUGUCGAAGGACAUCCCUCACCGUGCACCCAGUCGCACCCGCAAAACUGGCCCCUUCCUCAGCAACAAGGCGACGCCGACUCAGGCCUACCGCCAGCGAACUCUCUCUCGCCGUCAGCCUCGGCCUCGCCGUCCCUCGCUCAGCCCACCCUCCACGCCUCGAGGACUCGUGCCCCUCCGCCCAUCUCCCCUCCCAUCACAGUCGGCCCGCCACUCUCGGCAGUUUCCGAACCGGCGUCGGCAACGACGAGUCAAGACGAGGGUCGCAAUGUCGGAGAGAAAGACCCCGUGGGCGUCUUCCUCCGCGGCGCGAUCUGGGAGAAGUGGCACGCUUGAGACUUCUGAUCGGGUUUCGACAUGCCUCUUCCAACCCGCUUUCCGCCUUUCCCGCCUUCCUUUCGCCUCUCAACAACUUCCCAACGACUCUGGCGGCCAUGUACAAGAUCCCCGUUCACUUUGAACUGAAUGCUUAGGCGUGCAGCAGCCAAGGUGGUCCUCUGAGCGCCCAAAAACCGUUGGCUUUCGGAUCAACAGCCGAGCAAGAGCACCCGCAACGAUCAGGAAUGCAUACAGAGGACGAGAAGGCACCGCAAACGUCUGACUGAGAGGCUGCGAACCAGGAGGAGCGGACAGCUAGAAACGAGGGCGGGAGGAGGAAGGCAGGACAAACGGCGGGUCACCUUCCCGCGAUGGAGGCUGGUUGGCUGGAGUAGACUCACGACUCGUAGACGAGGCUGGAGGACGAACCGCUCAGCCUGUACGACGAGUUCGGUGGAAUGUCAACCUCGCUCAAAGUU
rnacentral:misc_RNA from 1 species